CGCCGAACAAACUUCCAAGCGAAACGAAAACGCGCUGGACCCGGAAAAUUAAACUCCCGGACGAGCGCGGAUGUGGGUGGAAAACUUGGUGAAAGGGCUGGCUGCCAUUGGCCUGAAAAUUGUUUAAUUACGCCUCGCGUACUUAAAUUGUAAUGGCGCUGACCUAAUUGAGUAAUAAUUAAAAUUAAGUGCAUGCUAAAUUGUUAUUAAUUAUUCAAGUGUUCACAAAGAUUCAGCCAGGAACCCGCCCCGAAACCAGGACCCCAGGACCAGUAACUUCAUCGAUUGCGUUUUUCUUCACCCAAAAAUAAUGGGGAAGAGAAGGAUACUUUGUUGCAAGUGUCGCCAAUUGGCAAACUGCUGCACUGACAGUUAUGGCUCCACACAGACAAAUUAGAAUUGCAUUUUCACUGGGGAGGAAGUGCUCGGUCAUAAUUGUUUGCCAGAAUGCGAAAUAAAUGGGCAGAACUCUCCACAAACGCGC
rnacentral:lncRNA from 1 species